rnacentral:rRNA from 1 species
AUCACUAUGAUGCUGACAACAGUUAGGAUUGUUGCAAGCGUCAGGCACCCUUCCAGCUGAUCCAGCCCGUGGGGGCGACAACAGUUAGGAUUGUGAGUGAGAGAGAGAGAGAGAGAGAGAGGGAUCAACUUUGAAUAAUCCCACAAGUUUGACAAGUCUUGCCGUUCUUAUUAGUUGUCAAUGUUAUCCUUUAGACCUUGUUCUUAUUGAAAUGACCUAAAACUUUAUCCCCUUAUAGCUUUCAAAACAUGUUGUACAGAACCUUUCUCCUAAAACUUAUUUAAAUAAAUCCACUCCGAUGUAGUGCAUCUCAAAUAUGUUCAACUAGAAAGUAGUUAAAACUAUUUGGACAUCAGAAUCAACAGUGUGAAUAAAAAAAAACUUAAAGACUCGAAUGUUCAACCAACCAAAAUAAGGAAUCUCAUAUAUCUACCAGCAAUUACAUCAUCGACUCAGAAAAGGAACCUCAACAUCCCAACUAUGAAGAAAAAACAAUAAUAUAAACAAAUAGAAGAAAGGACAAGACCCUCGAGUGUGCAUUGCUUGGUGCGAGCUAGCUCAUCCAUCAAGACCCUUUAUUUCCUCGUUACCUAUAUCAUAUGGAUCUAGUGAGUCUAGCAAGUUCAAACAUCUCACUGACCUUUAGUACCAUGGACCUUCCAACUUUAAUAAAAUAAUAUCAAACUUUAACUUUCAACAUCAAAAUAUUUAAGUGAGUUUAUAUCAUUGAAUGUAGUCCCUUUUUUUCUUUUCCUCAACAUCUGUUCAUUUGGCCAAACUUUUACCCUAGUACUAGGCUUGAUAGCGUUCCUCGGUAUCCUCUAAGCCCGGUUCCACAAGCUUUGGUAAGGUUUCAGGUAUCCUCUAAGCCGGAUCCUUACCAUAAUACUAGGUUUGGUAGGGUUUCCCGGUAUCCUCUAAGUCAGGUUCCACUUGCCUUGGGUAAGGAUUCUAGCAUCCUCUAAGUUGGAUCCCACAUCCCCUUUUUUCCUCUGAUUUGAUGAAGGAUUAUGGUAUUCUCCAGCCGAACUCCUUUACUCGUCACAUUGCCACAUUCAUCAACAAGAAAAAUAGCUUACCUUUCAUGCAUUGAUAGUCAUAUAAAAAAUAUGAUAAUUUUACUUUGUAUGCUAAAACAUACCGUUAAUUUUUCAUGCAUCGAAAAACUUACUAAAAGUUAUGAUAAAAGAAUUAAAGGUGCUUAGACAUAAAUAUUAAACAAAAAUACUAUAAAUACAGAUGUUGUUUUAAGGAACACUGUCACACCUCCUCACCCAUCUUCCUAGCCCCUACACCCCCCUCCAACGCACUAUCCACCCUCCUUCCUCCCUCAACUCUAGCCCCUUAUUCCGCGACCUGGUAGCACUCCCAAUCAGCCCCUCAACCCCUUCCAGGAUUCUCAAGGCUGUAGCAAAUUUCCGAAAUUUCAAAGUCGAUAGAACUUUAGUCAAAACAACGCAACCAUGGUAAACUCGACAGAUCGCACCGACCCUCGUGCUGGCGAUGCAUCAUUCAAAUAUCUACCCUAUCAACUUUCGAUGGUAGGAUAGUUGCCUACCAUGGUGGUGACGGGUAACGGAGAAUUAGGGGUUCAAUUCCGGAGAGGGAGCCUGAGAAACAGCUACCACAUCUAAGGAAGGUAGCAUACACGCAAAUUACCUAAUCCUGACACGGGGAGGUAGUGACAAUAAAUAAUAAUAUCGAGCUCUUUAAGUUUGGUAAUUGGAAUGAGUACAAUCUAAAUCCCUUAACGAGGAUCCAUUGGAGGGCAAGUUUGGUGCCAGCAGCUGCGGUAAUUCCAACUCUAAUAGCGUAUAUUUAAGUUGUUACAAUUAAAAAGCUCGUAGUUGGACCUUGGGUUGAGUCGAUCAAUCCACCUUGUUGUGUGCAUUGGUCGUCUCAUCCCUUCUGCCAAUGAUGCGUGCCUAGCCUUAGUUGAUCGGGUCGUGCCUGUGGCGCUAUUAAUUUGAAGAAAUUAGAGUGCUCAAAGCAAAUCUACGCUCUGGAUAUAUUAGCAUGGGAUAACAUCACAGGAUUUCGUUCCUAUUGUAUUGGCCUUGGGAAUUGGAGUAAUGAUUAAGAGGGGCAAUCGGGGGCAUUCUUAUUUCAUAGUCAGGUGAAAUUUUUAGAUUUAUGAAAGACGAACAACUGCAAAAGCAUUUGCUAAGGAUGUUUGUAGGAUCGGGGGGGGUUUGAAUAUUACGCAUUGCUUUUUCACUCAUUUUGAUUUUGGAAAACACACAGAAAAUGCAACGGAAUAAACAAUGAAAAGACAAGCAACGCUAACAAGCUUUCUUUUACUUGGUUCGGAGCCUGUGGCGACUUCUACUCCAAGGCCCGCGAUUGUUGAUCACUUUCGUUGAGCGAUCACUAUAGAUUUGAAAAUUGAGUACAAGUACAAAUAUGCAGCUUACAAGUAUUGCACAAAAUUAAACUUAUUACCAACGUCUUGGAGAAAUAGAACUUCUAGCUUGAUCGUCGUCGGAGCAGCGUUUAGACGUUUUCAGAGUGCAUGCAAGAGCUCAAGUUGUUCUUCAAGAAUUGUUGUCGAAGCACUUGGUCGAGCCCUCCUUUUAUAGCCAAGCUUGAUCUCGGGAUCAAGUUUGACUCGCUGUCGAUCGGUUGAUCGAUCCUCCUGAUCGGUCAACCGAUCUCGCCUGAAUCGGUCAACCGAUCUCGCCUGAAUCGGUCGGCCUUCUAGUUCUUCUGUUCGGAUAUACUUUCUUCGUUCGAUCGACCGAUCCCGCCGUUCGGUCGAUCGAUCCCCAGCACAUCUGGUCCGAUCAAUUCGGCUCGGCCAUGUCACCGCUUAUCCCCGGUUCGGUCGACCGAUCCCUCGGUCGAACCUGGUCCACUAGUGGAACUCUGCUAUGUUUGCUUGGAGGUUCGGUCGACCGAUCCAAGCUGAACAUCAACCUGCAGAAUCAUUAGUCUUCCUGCAAAACAGAGUUAACACAUAGCAGAUAAUAUGUAAAUAAAUAACUUUGACAGCCUUCGGACUGUCCAGUUCUGACUUCGGAUUUCCUCCGGAAACCCUAGGUCGAACCGGUGCUUCCCUCACAAGGGAGCGCGUCCUCACCUACUCCUCUCAGGAGAAGUUACCUGUUGCCAGACCGGUCCUCCAGACCGACUAGACUUUUGCUCAGCGUCUGAUGCUUCCGGUCUUCAUGCUAGACGUCCGCUCCACGACCCGCCCAGACUUCCACCCGGUUCGCUACCACCAGGAUUUCAACCUAGAGUCCCCGACUCUAGGAUUUUGCCUGAAGCACUCGACCCACCAAGACUUUCCACCUAGGGUUACCACCCCCUAGGACCUAGGGUUACCAUCCCCUAGGGUUUUCCACCUGCUUAACCGCAGCUAAGACUUUUCCUCACCUAAGUUACCGCCCCCUAGGACCUAGGGUUACCACGCCCUAGGGUUUUCCACUUGCCUAGAAUCCACUAGAACUUUUGCCUAAGAACACUUAGGACUUUUCUUGCAAGCUCAAUCAACCUUGUUAGAUAACAAGACAACUUAACUUUGGACCCUUUGACAUAAUCAAAACCUAGGUUCGAUCGUCGGAUGCUUCCCGCACCAACAAUGUUUUCAUUAAUCAAGAACGAAAGUUAGGGGCUCGAAAAUGAUCAGAUAUCGUCCUAGUCUCAACCAUAAACGAUGCCGACCAGGGAUCGGCGGAUGUUGCUCUUAGGACUCCGCCGGCACCUUAUGAGAAAUCAAAGUCUUUGGGUUCCGGGGGGAGUAUGGUCGCAAGGCUGAAACUUAAAGGAAUUGACGGAAGGGCACCACCAGGAGUGGAGCCUGCGGCUUAAUUUGACUCAACACGGGGAAACUUACCAGGUUUAGAUAUAUAUAGCAAGGAUUGACAGAUUGAGAGCUCUUUCACGUGUGGCAAAAGGCAAUUCACUCAACCCAAUGCCUCCGUCAACUCGUCCCUAGGCCAACACGGAGGAGGUAAAUCACGGGUGGCUACUAGUCAUUAGUACAAGUGGCCAAGACAUGGGGGAGGCAUGGUCGGACGGGCCGAGUUUCGAACCUAAGACCUCAUGUGGCAACACCCCAUAUUUUAACCACCGCACCGUCCCGAGAGGACAAUUGAGAGCUCUUUCACUUUUUUUGAUGAAUAGGUAAAUAGAUCAUCG